rnacentral:rRNA from 1 species
GAAUUYGAUUUUGGAGGGCAAGUYUGGUGCCAGCAGCCGCGGUAAUUCCAGCUCCAAUAGCGUAUAUUAAAGUUGUUGCAGUUAAAAAGCUYGUAGUUGAAUWUCGGGAUCAAUUUGUUGGUCGUGCCUCGGUACGUACUGGCAUUAUUGGUUUYUACCUUCUGAAGAACCUKGAUGUCAUUAAUUUGGUGUCUUGGGGAAUCAGGACUGUUACUUUGAAAAAAUUAGAGUGUUUAAAGCAGGCAUACGCUUGAAUACAUUAGCAUGGAAUAAUGAAAUAGGACGUUUGWURKSAWUUWGUUGGUUUCUAGGAUCGACGUAAUGAUUAAUAGGGAUAGUUGGGGGCAUUAGUAUUCAAUUGUCAGAGGUGAAAUUCUUGGAUUUAUUGAAGACUAACUACUGCGAAAGCAUUUGCCAAGGAUGUUUUCAUUAAUCAAGAACGAAAGUUAGGGGAUCGAAGACGAUCAGAUACCGUYGUKKUCUUAACCAUAAACUAUGCCGACUAGGGAUCGGAUGAUGUUAUUUUUAAUKAMUWAKUCGGCGCWUUACGGGAAAC